CUACGAGGGGCAGCAGUGGGGAAUCUUAGACAAUGGGGGAAACCCUGAUCUAGCCAUGCCGCGUGAGCGACGACGGCCCUAGGGUUGUAAAGCUCUUUCAGCAGGGAAGAUAAUGACGGUACCUGCAGAAGAAGUCCCGGCUGACUCCGUGCCAGCAGCCGCGGUAAUAGGGAGGGGACUAGCGUUGUUCGGAAUUACUGGGCGUAAAGCGCGCGUAGGCGGAUUGUUAAGUCGGGGGUGAAAUCCCGGGGCUCAACCCCGGAACUGCCCUCGAUACUGGCAGUCUUGAGUUCGAGAGAGGUGAGUGGAAUUCCGAGUGUAGAGGUGAAAUUCGUAGAUAUUCGGAGGAACACCAGUGGCGAAGGCGGCUCACUGGCUCGAUACUGACGCUGAGGUGCGAAAGCGUGGGGAGCAAACAGGAUUAGAUACCCCGGUAGUC
rnacentral:rRNA from 1 species